UGAAGUUAAAGGCUGUGGCUUAACCAUAGUACGCUUUGGAAACUGUUUAACUUGAGUGCAGAAGGGGAGAGUGGAAUUCCAUGUGUAGCGGUGAAAUGCGUAGAUAUAUGGAGGAACACCGGUGGCGAAAGCGGCUCUCUGGUCUGUAACUGACGCUGAGGCUCGAAAGCGUGGGGAGCGAACAGGAUUAGAUACCCUGGUAGUCCACGCCGUAAACGAUGAGUGCUAGGUGUUAGGCCCUUUCCGGGGCUUAGUGCCGCAGCUAACGCAUUAAGCACUCCGCCUGGGGAGUACGACCGCAAGGUUGAAACUCAAAGGAAUUGACGGGGGCCCGCACAAGCGGUGGAGCAUGUGGUUUAAUUCGAAGCAACGCGAAGAACCUUACCAGGUCUUGACAUCCCGAUGCCCGCUCUAGAGAUAGAGUUUUACUUCGGUACAUCGGUGACAGGUGGUGCAUGGUUGUCGUCAGCUCGUGUCGUGAGAUGUUGGGUUAAGUCCCGCAACGAGCGCAACCCUUAUUGUUAGUUGCCAUCAUUCAGUUGGGCACUCUAGCGAGACUGCCGGUAAUAAACCGGAGGAAGGUGGGGAUGACGUCAAAUCAUCAUGCCCCUUAUGACCUGGGCUACACACGUGCUACAAUGGCUGGUACAACGAGUCGCAAGUCGGUGACGGCAAGCUAAUCUCUUAAAGCCAGUCUCAGUUCGGAUUGUAGGCUGCAACUCGCCUACAUGAAGUCGGAAUCGCUAGUAAUCGCGGAUCAGCACGCCGCGGUGAAUACGUUCCCGGGCCUUGUACACACCGCCCGUCACACCACGAGAGUUUGUAACACCCGAAGUCGGUGAGGUAACCUUUUAGGAGCCAGCCGCCUAAGGUGGGAUAGAUGAUUGGGGUGAAGUCGUAACAAGGUAGCCGUAUCGGAGGG
rnacentral:rRNA from 1 species